UUUAGUUUGUAAAUCUUCUAACACGGUGUUACUUUGUAUAAUUUUGAAAGCAGAAUUUUUGAAGUACGAUUGCAUCGUAGUCGUGAAGAUUCUAGAUGAAACUUACGAUAGUUGCUUCUUAUGGCUUUUCGAUGGAAAUUUUACAAAAAUGGACAUAUAUAUCUCGUUGAAUAGCAGCAACUUUCAAGUAUGGAUCACAGAAUUGAUUAUUCUCCAUUAAUUCUUUAAAAUAAUGAAUAAAAACCGGUUCACGUUUAUCGCCAUUUUCUAUAAUGAACUCAAAUAAUGUCUAAUAAAUUCAGCAAAGAAAUGGUACUCAUAAUGUUUAUGUACAGGGUCCUCACGACGAGCUGAAUCGAUAUGUAUAUGGAAAAGUACUGCGACUAGUGUUCUGAAAAUUUGCAAUAUAACUUUAUAUGAGGCAUAGUAUGCCUAAAGUCCACCAUUUUUUAGUUAUUUCACAUUUUCGAAAUUUUUGGACACUAAAAAACUUAUAUUUCUAAAUUUAAAUGAGGCAGGUCUAAUAUUUUUGGGAUUUGGUCAAGUAACACCUACAGCUUUCAACAUCUGUGAAAACCUUGACAAAAAUGUAUAUAGGGUGUCCAGAAAAUGGUGCCGAAUUCCACUAUCUACAAACUUCGAAAACUUAAUUUUUUCAAAUGGCAACUCUCAUUUUUCUCUUUAUCAUUGGAUUCUACGCUUUAAAUUAAGGGGAUUUCGUUAGUAAAUUCAUAUAUCUCAAAUUUACGGUUUUUGGUGAAAUCCUCAUGGUUUUUAAUUGUCAUCUGCCUAUGGCAAACAACGAAUAACGAAAGUUAAUGUAUCAAAAAUUAAAAUAUUUUAGUCAAUUAAAAAAUAUUUAAAAACUACAAUAACAGAAGAACAAAACUAAAAAUUAAACUAAAGUAAAUGUUCGAAAUGGUUGCCCCAACUUCCAUAUAAUUUUUUUAAUGGAGGGCCGCAUGUGUCCAAAAAUUUCAAAAAUGUGAAAUAAGUAAAAAAUGGAGGACUUUAGGCAUACUAUGCCUUGUAUAAAGUUCGCAUAGACUCCUGUAUAAGCGGAAGUUUCAGAAAACUGAAAUUAUUUCAACUGAAACAAGCAUUUCUGAAAACCCAUGCAAGCAAAUUUUCAGAACACAAGUCCCAGUACUUUCACAUAUCCAUAUCGAUACUCUUCGUGAAAGACCCUGUAUAUUUAAAAUAUUUAACAGAACAUAUAUAUAUUUCCAAUGGAUUUCUUUCAACUCAUCUAACUUAAAUGUAUUUUGUAUUAAUGACAGUAAUUGAGUGGUACACAAAAUUUCUGUAUUAUGUAAAGUAUUAUUCUGUAUUAUGUAUUCUGUAAAGCAUGUAAAUUUUGCUGCAAAUAUAGAUAUUUGAAUCA